rnacentral:rRNA from 1 species
CCUACGGGUGGGCAGCAGUAGGGAAUCUUCCACAAUGGGCGAAAGCCUGAUGGAGCAACGCCGCGUGGGUGAAGAAGGUCUUCGGAUCGUAAAACCCUGUUGUUAGAGCAAAAAGGGCGGGAGAGUAACUGUUCACGUUUCAACGGUAUCUAACCAGAAAGCCACGGCUAACUACGUGCCAGCAGCCGCGGUAAUACGUAGGUGGCAAGCGUUAUCCGGAUUUAUUUGGCGUAAAGGGAACUCAGUCGGUCUUUUAAGUCUGAUGUGAAAGCCUUCGGCUUAACAGGGGUAGUGCAUUGGAAACUGGGAGAGUUGAGUGCCGAAGAGGAGAGUGGAACUCCAUGUGUAGCGGUGAAAUGCGUAGGUAUAUGGAAGAACACCAGUGGCGAAAGCGGCUCUCUGGUCUGUAACUGACGCUGAGGUUCGAAAGCGUGGGUAGCAAACAGGAGUAGAUACCCCAGUAGUC